rnacentral:rRNA from 1 species
UACGUAGGGCGCAAGCGUUGUCCGGAAUUAUUGGGCGUAAAGAGUUCGUAGGCGGUCUGUUACGUCCGCUGUGAAAACCCCAGGGCUUAACCCUGGGCUUGCAGUGGAUACGGGCAGACUAGAGGCAGGUAGGGGAGAAUGGAAUUCCCGGUGUAGCGGUGAAAUGCGCAGAUAUCGGGAGGAACACCGGUGGCGAAGGCGGUUCUCUGGGCCGAUACUGACGCUGAGGAGCGAAAGCGUGGGGAGCGAACAGG